rnacentral:rRNA from 1 species
UACAGAGGGGGCAAGCGUUGUUCGGAAUUACUGGGCGUAAAGGGCGCGUAGGCGGCCAACUAAGUCGGACGUGAAAUCCCCGGGCUCAACCCGGGAACUGCGUCCGAUACUGGAUGGCUCGAAUCCGGGAGAGGGAUGUGGAAUUCCAGGUGUAGCGGUGAAAUGCGUAGAUAUCUGGAGGAACACCGGUGGCGAAGGCGGCAUCCUGGACCGGUAUUGACGCUGAUGCGCGAAAGCCAGGGGAGCAAAC